rnacentral:sRNA from 2 species
UACCUACCAAUCACGCAUAUGACAGUUACCGUCGGGAUUAAUUCAGGUUUCAAGGAUCGUCACUUGCCCGUGGACGGUUCGUGUUUUUCCGGAUUAUUGGGCCAGAACAAUCCACUUCCCCUCAGAAGCUUGGAUGGCCCAACUUGAUUGGAAGAACGACAUGUGCAUGUGUGCAUCGAUUAAUAUCAAGUCCACCGUGAUCAAGCUUGAUAUGAAAAUAAAGUGGGAAGCUGCAAGGUAAGCGCAUUUUUAGGAGAGAAAAGGGGGGGUUUUGGAAUUGGGUACGCGUUGCUACUUUCUUUUCAGCUGUUUGACUUUUCACGAUUCGUUUGUUGAGGUCAUCGGGGUUUAAAUUUAAAAUCAACGAGGCCUGUAUGAUCCCCAAAAACUUCCGUUAUCAGAUCAAGCGUUUGAGUGGGCUUGUAACUUUAUCUCUCUCGAUCGUUCGCGCUAUGCCCAUGUUGUAAGGGAUAAUGUCCAUCAUACAGGAAAAGAAAGAAAAAGUUGAUAAC